rnacentral:rRNA from 1 species
CAUGCAAGUCGAGCGAGAAAGUGACUUCGGUCGCGAGUAAAGCGGCGAACGGGUGAGUACAACGUGGAUAAUCUACCCUAAGGUCCGGGACAACCCCGAGAAAUCGGAGCUAAUACCGGAUAAGACCACAGUAUCCAAGGAUACAGCGGUAAAAGAUUUAUCGCCUUUGGAUGAGUCCACGUCCCAUCAGGUAGUUGGUAAGGUAAAAGCUUACCAAGCCUAAGACGGGUAGCCGGCCUUAGCGGGUGAACGGCCACAUGGGGAUUGAGACACGGCCCUGACUCCUACGGGAGGCAGCAGUGGGGAAUAUUGGGCAAUGGGCGAAAGCCUGACCCAGCGAUGCCGCGUGAGGGAUGAAGGCCUUCGGGUCGUAAACCUCUGUCAGGAGGGACGAUGGGACACUUGUGUCUUGACGGUACCUCCAGAGGAAGCCCCGGCUAACUCCGUGCCAGCAGCCGCGGUAAUACGGAGGGGGCAAGCGUUGCUCGGAAUUACUGGGCGUAAAGGGUCCGCAGGCUGUCAGGCAAGUUGGUUGUGAAAGCUCAAGGCUUAACCUUGGAAUUGCAUCCAAAACUGCCUGACUAGAGUCCAAGAGAGGUUGGCGGAAUUCCCGGUGUAGCGGUGAAAUGCAUAGAUAUCGGGAGGAACACCAGAGGCGAAGGCGGCCAACUGGCUUGGAACUGACG